rnacentral:rRNA from 1 species
UACGGAGGGAGCUAGCGUUAUUCGGAAUUACUGGGCGUAAAGCGCACGUAGGCGGCUUUGUAAGUAAGAGGUGAAAGCCCAGAGCUCAACUCUGGAAUUGCCUUUUAGACUGCAUCGCUUGAAUCAUGGAGAGGUCAGUGGAAUUCCGAGUGUAGAGGUGAAAUUCGUAGAUAUUCGGAAGAACACCAGUGGCGAAGGCGACUUUCUGGACAUUAACUGACGCUGAGGCGCGAAAGCGUGGGGAGCAAACAGG